CGUGUAGGCGGAAAUGUAAGUCAGAUGUGAAAUCCCGGGGCUCAACCCCGGAACAGCAUUUGAAACUGCAUUCCUAGAGGAUAGGCGGAGAAAACGGAAUUCCACAAGUAGCGGUGAAAUGCGUAGAUAUGUGGAAGAACACCGGUGGCGAAGGCGGUUUUCUAGCUUAUUCCUGACGCUGAGGCGCGAAAGCAAGGGGAGCAAACA
rnacentral:rRNA from 1 species